CUACGGGUCGCUGCAGGCGAGAAAACUUUGCAAUGUGCGAAAGCACGACAAGGUUAAUCCGAGUGGUUUGUGCUAAACGAACCUUUUGACAGUCCUAGAAACACUGUUGAAUAAGGGGUGGGCAAGUUCUGGUGUCAGCCGCCGCGGUAAAACCAGCACCUCAAGUGGUCAGGAUGAUUAUUGGGCCUAAAGCAUCCGUAGCCGGCUCUGUAAGUUUUCGGUUAAAUCUGUAGGCUCAACGUACAGGCUGCCGGGAAUACUGCAGAGCUAGGGAGUGGGAGAGGUAGACGGUACUCGGUAGGAAGGGGUAAAAUCCUUUGAUCUAUUGAUGACCACCUGUGGCGAAGGCGGUCUACCAGAACACGUCCGACGGUGAGGGAUGAAAGCUGGGGGAGCAAACCGGAUUAGAUACCCCGGUAGUC
rnacentral:rRNA from 1 species